UGGAGGCUUCAGGGAACUUUGACUCAUGGUGGAAGAUGAAAUGGGAGCAGGCACCUCAUGUGACUGAAGCAGGAGCAAGAAAGAGUGAGCGAGGUGCCUCCCACUCUUAAACAAUCAGAACUCUCUCUCGAGAAUUCACUCGCUGUCUUGCGGACAGCACCAAAGGGAUGGUCCUAAACCAUUCAUGAGAAAUCCUCCUCCAUGAUCCAGUCACCUCUCACCAGGCCCUACCCCCAACCCCCAACACUGGGAUUACAAUUCAACAUGAGAUUUGGGCCUGGACACAGAUCCAAACUCUAUCAAUAUAUUAGCCAGACACUUGCAGCUAUAUGAAGAAUACCCUGGUUACCCAGCUACAAAUGGAGAUGUUAUUGGUAAGGGAGGGGGCAGGGAAGUGCUGGGAGGAGAAAGGCAGGUCUCUGGCGAGGGCUCCACCCCAGUGCCUGUGUCCACAGACCUAGGUAAGGGCAGGCACUCCUGCCUUUGCGCCCAAAUGUUGCAUUUCCCAAGACCACCCUGGCCCGCCACGCCCCCAUCCUGUGCCUAGAAAAACCCCGAAACCCUAGUGGGCACUCACACAAGCGGCUGGACAUCCAGAGGACGUCAAGAAGAGCACGCCCACAGGCUGACCCUGGCAGGCCAUCGACUGGCGGAAGGACAUGGAGUUUGGCUGCGCGGUGAGAGGAGAGCCAGGCCGCUAGGUGGCCUGACUCCAGGAAAAUACACCUUUCCACUCCAUCUCCCUUCUGCCUCCCCUGUCUGCUGACAGCUACUUCCACUCAAUAAAACCAAGCACUCAUUCUCCAAGCCCACGUGUGAUCUGAUUCUUCCUGUACACCAAGGCAAGGACCCUGGGAUACAGAAAGUCCUCUGUCCUUGAGAUAAGCCAGGGGGUCUAAUUGAGCUGACUAACACAAGUCUCCUACAGAUGGCAAAACUAAAAGAGCACCCUGUAACACACGUGUGCCCACUGGGGCUUCAGCUGUAAACAUUCACCCCUAGACACUGCUGUUGGGUUGGGCCCCAUAACCCAGUCGUCAGCAUGCUCCCCUAGAGGUUUGAGCAGCGGGGCACAGAAGAAGCGAGUCACUCCUCCUGUUGCACAGCCUGCGAGGGGGGCAAGGGAACGUUUCCUGUUUCAUCAUCAGGGAUAUUGUAUUGGUGUCUUAAAUAACACUAGCAUUUUGCCAUAUUUGGAGCUGCUACUGGGCCAGCUCUGUUUCCAGCCCUGCCUUUCAAUCUUUUCCUUGCUUCUGGCAUAAGUUCCCUUCUCUCUUGAGAAAUCGGUUAUGCAUUUGAAAAUACAUGUAGCUAUACAUACUUUAAACGUAACAUUUAGCAAGGAGGCUCCUUAUCGGACGGUCCUUCACGUUGCUGGGAACAGAGAACAGGACAGUUCCAGGUUCCUGCCAAUUAUAGAAGCAGUCCUGUUUCAAAAUGCCAUUAAGCAUCCUUCUGAGCUGCGGAAAGUCAUAGGACCAGUCCUCAGCCGUGCCCAUUACAGCAGCAGUGACAGCACACCACUUUGCUCAUGAUACGGAUCAGGGUUAAUUUUCAAGUUUUGGAUGGUUCUCCCUCUUUGAGUUACCAUUUGUUUCUGCUUAUAAGCUACUGCUCAUGCCUUAGGUACUAGGAAAUAUUGAAAAGGGAAAGCCUUAGGUGGCUUGCAAAGGCUGUGAUGUAAAUAUGUGUUGCUGAGAUGGGGAAGUGAAGGUGUUGGAUGAUGCAUAACUUUCGCAGGUGUUCUUAUACCACAUU